rnacentral:rRNA from 1 species
UAGGUAAUAUGCCUCUUACUAAGGGAUAACAAAUGGAAAUGUUUGCUAAUACCUUAUACUCCUUACUAACUAAGGUUAGUAGGGGAAAGAUUUAUUGGUAAGAGAUUAGCCUGUAUUGUAUCAGUUAGUUGGUGGGGUAAUGGCCUACCAAGACAAUGACGCAUAACUGGUUUGAGAGGAUGAUCAGUCACACUGGAACUGAGACACGGUCCAGACUCCUACGGGAGGCAGCAGUGGGGAAUAUUGCACAAUGGACGAAAGUCUGAUGCAGCAACGCCGCGUGGAGGAUGACACAUUUCGGUGCGUAAACUCCUUUUAUAUAAGAAGAUAAUGACGGUAUUAUAUGAAUAAGCACCGGCUAACUCCGUGCCAGCAGCCGCGGUAAUACGGGGGGUGCAAGCGUUACUCGGAAUCACUGGGCGUAAAGAGCAUGUAGGCGGAUUAAUAAGUUUGAAGUGAAAUCCUAUAGCUUAACUAUAGAACUGCUUUGAAAACUGUUAGUCUAGAAUGUGGGAGAGGUAGAUGGAAUUUCUGGUGUAGGGGUAAAAUCCGUAGAGAUCAGAAGGAAUACCGAUUGCGAAGGCGAUCUACUGGAACCAUUAUUGACGCUGAGAUGCGAAAAGCGUGGGGAGCAAACAGGAUUAGAUACCCUGGUUAGUCCACGCGCCCUAAAACGAUGUACACUAGUUGUUGUGAGACUUGAUCUUGCAGUAAUGCAGUUAACACAUUAAGUGUACCGCCUGGGGAGUACGGUCGCAAGAUUAAAACUCAAAGGAAUAGACGGGGACCCGCACAAGCGGUGGAGCAUGUGGUUUAAUUCGACGAUACACGAAGAACCUUACCUGGACUUGACAUAGUAAGAACUUUCUAGAGAUAGAUUGGUGUCUGCUUGCAGAAACUUAUAUACAGGUGCUGCACGGCUGUUGUCAGCUCGUGUCGUGAGAUGUUGGGUUAAGUCCCGCAACGAGCGCAACCCUCGUCCUUAGUUGCUAACAGUUCGGCUGAGAACUCUAAGGAGACUGCCUACGCAAGUAGGAGGAAGGUGAGGACGACGUCAAGUCAUCAUGGCCCUUACGUCUAGGGCUACACACGUGCUACAAUGGGAUAUACAAUGAGCCGCAAUACGGUGACGUGGAGCAAAUCUUAUAAAAUAUCUCCCAGUUCGGAUUGUAGUCUGCAACUCGACUACAUGAAGUUGGAAUCGCUAGUAA